rnacentral:rRNA from 1 species
AGCGUAGGCGGACAUUUAAGUCAGGGGUGAAAUCCCGGGGCUCAACCUCGGAAUUGCCUUUGAUACUGGGUGUCUUGAGUAUGAGAGAGGUGUGUGGAACUCCGAGUGUAGAGGUGAAAUUCGUAGAUAUUCGGAAGAACACCAGUGGCGAAGGCGACACACUGGCUCAUUACUGACGCUGAGGCUCGAAAGCGAGGGGAGCAAACA